rnacentral:tRNA from 1 species
ACCCAGGUAGUGUAAACGGUUAACACAUUUGGCUGCUAACCAGAAGUUGGAAGUUCAAGUCCACCUAGAGGUG